ensembl:ncRNA B0563.15 ncRNA
AUUGAUAGGUUUAUAGAAUAAACAAUCAGCCAUCUAAUAUACUCGUUUUUCGCCUUUCUUUUAUUCAGACAUGCAAUAGUCUUUCAUAAUAUUGCAUUUUUGAUUAGGUUAAGGUCAUAUGAGGUCAGAUGGUAAUUGGAUCAAGUGCAAUGAGCCUUUUAAAAAUUGAUGAUGUCACGU